GAAAGGAUCAGUCCAGAUUUCUCUACAAAUGUUAUUCCAUAGACAUACACAUGACUAUACACAGUAUCUAUUUUCUCUGAUGUUGUUCUUCCAACUAAUAGGUCAUUUAGAUUAUUGUUUUGUGUUUCUCUUUUCUUGUUUCCCUCCCUGUCAGCUUUUAAUUAAGAGAAGUGUAUCUUUUCAUUGAGAAGAGGAAGGGGCAGACAUUACAGCAUAAUCAGAAUGGACUCCAAAGACACAGAGCCCUAAAGGAAAGGUUGACUUCUCAGCACAUUUGCGUCCUCCAAACUCUAAGAGAAGGAGAAAAGGCGACCUGGCAAAGAUGGAAACAUCCUUGAGUCAGAAGCCCUUCUUGUGAAAGCUGCCAGGAUGUAUUCAGUGGCCCCUGAGUCCUUCCAGUGAACCAGUUUCUGAGUAGGAGAUGAUGACAGCCCUUUCCUAGCCCUUUGCAGGUUGGUGUGAUUGCUCUGCAGAGAAGAGGACCUGGCAGGCUUUCGGGCCCCUGAAGGUAUUCAAACUUCAGUGCCAAUAAAUGGACGUGGAAAAGCAGCCCUGGGGAACCAGAAGAGUUGAGGUAGAGCUCCUCUAUCAGCUGGCAGUUCAGAGGCUGUUUCCUCCAGAAAGCCCUCCCUGGUCCCUGGUCUGGGUAAGGCAGCUCUGAGUUCUUGCAGCUGCAGCCUCCUCCACCUCCACGUGGAUGAAGUUUCAUUAGGCACAGCUCUUCCAUCCCACCUGUGUGCUUCCUGGGUAUGGACGAUGUGUGUUUCACCUCACGACCCUUUGGAGUCUAAGUCCAGGGACCAUAUCACCCAUUGCUAAGGAAGGUCCUCCUUCCUUCUAGUUUUUGCUAUGCACCCAUGUCCCUGUUGCGUACAUACUAUCUAACAAUGCUGUGCUUGGGCAUUGCUUUCAGGAAGAGAGGAGUCAGCAUGUUCU
rnacentral:lncRNA from 10 species